rnacentral:rRNA from 1 species
AGAGUGCAGCUNUAAGNGGGNGGUAGAUUNCNUNUAAGGCAAAAUACGCCCCNNAGNCNGAUAGNGAACAAGUACCNGNGGGAAAGUNGAAAAGAACUUGAAGAGAGAGNNCAAGNGUACGUGAANCCGUUCAGGGGUAANCCUAAGAAACCCAAAGGUCGAACGGGGAGAUUCAUCGUCWGCGGCGCUGGCUUCGCGUCGGUGGGCGAUGUCCCGCAGAAUUCUCGCGGCUCUCGCACGGGCACGCUACCGUGCGUCGAUGUACGGCGCUCGUUGUCGUGCACUUUUCCCCAAGUAGAACGUCGCGACCCGCUGGGUGUCGGUCUACGGGCCGGGGUGCGGUGACCGUCGCGUCGCCGUAAAACGGCACGCGACAAACCCCCGGUCGCCCAGCCGGCUGCUCGGCGGUACGCGCAAGGUAUCAGGCCGCACUGUUUACGAUGCGUCGAGGCCGUCGCAAGCGCGCGCCACGGUACUCGGAGGUUACNGACUUUGCGCCGUACCCGGUCCUGGUCCGCUGUUGGUUAAAGUACGGNNCAUCUUNNACAGGCCUGUCGAACGUCCCUCUCCCUCCCUUGUGGGUCGCGUGNGGGAUCGAAACNNNNCGGCGACGCUACUGCNUUGGGUACUCUUANGACCCG